GUGCACAAGUUUUUCGGCUGAAAUCUUUAAUCCAGAUGGCGGUGUGCAGCCUGUCACGAGCAAAUGGAUCAGGAUCCUGUGGAGAGAUUGUAAUGACUCAGACUCCAGAUUAUAUGUCUGUGUCCUCAGGAGACAGAGUCACCAUCUCAUGUAAGGCCAGUAAAAGUCUUUUCCACCCUAAUGCAAAGUUCAUUACAUUAGCCUGGUAUCAGCAGAAAGCAGGACAACCUCCAAAACUAAUUAUGCACAAAGUGUCUGAGCGACCAUCAGGAGUCCCAGAACGAUUUCAUGGAUCUGGAUCUGAAACAGAAUUCACUCUGACAAUCAGUGGAGUGACAGAAGACGAUGCAGGACAUUAUUUCUGUCAGCCUCCUUUACUCUUCUGUUAAUACAAUACAAAUUGUCAUCAUCCC